CUUAGGAGCCUUUCUUUGGGCCAGUGCUGCAGGGCAGGGAGAAGGCCUGGGUUUUCCUCAGCUGGAGGAGGUGGGGUUUUCCUUUGGCCUGCAGGGCUUGGGCCUUCCUCAGAACCCUGACAGAAGGUUAACAUUUUACCUUUUUUUCUUGUUUCCACUUUUGGUUUGUAAUCUCUGUUCAUGAAUUUGUUGUUUGUUUUCCAGGGAAGAGUUGGAGCUGGUGCCCAGUCCGGGUUGGGAAGGGCUGGGACCAUCCCUGGAGAGGAUCUGACGUCCCCUCUGAGAAGGCUGAGGACAUCCUUUGGGACACGCUCUUCUUGCGGCAGCAGAUCUUGUGAGACAGGACACCUCUGCCUGAUCUCCCGCGGAUCCGAGGGAUCUCUGGAUCUUCACGCCAGCACCAGGACUUUGCUGCAGAAGAGCACAGAUCCCCAGCCCAGUCUGGGACACAGAACCUGUGAAAGGGCAGAAAGAUUGUGGUGUGAAUGCAGCGCCCUCAGAGCCCUUGGUGUGAGCCCGGAAAGGAAAAUCAAGCUGAGGGACAAGAUCAGUCUAAUUUGGGGACAUUGUUGGAGGUUGGAGUUGCAGUUCUGGAAGAAAUCCCCGAGGAAAUGGUGCCCCCAGGGAGAGGAAGAGGACGAGAGCAUGGGCAGCCUGCUUCAAACAUCCCCCCAGGAGACCUGGGAUCAGUCCCUCUGCAUCCUGUAAGAAAGAUGGACACUGGAAAUGGGAUUGUCCACAACUGAAACUUCAGAACCCUCCGAACCCUCUCGUGGCAUCACUGAAGACGACUGAGGGGGCACCAGAGGAUUCUUCCCCAUCAGAACAUCUGGUUCCAGCCAAGCUAAGCACAAUUGUUUGUGGCUGUGGGAACUUGUUCCUCUGUGUUAAAUCCAGGAAAAUGAAACUCAAGGGACAAUUCUAGAACAAUUGUCUGGUGUGCCAGGGAAUUGGGAAACUGGGCCAUUUUUAAUGCUGUGGCUUUGAAAUUGGGAAAACAGUGGUUGGCUCCCCAGUUUUUGUAUUUCCCCAAUUCCCCAAAGCCUCUGCUUGGGAGAGAUCUCUUGGCAAAAUGAAAUGCCACAAUCCAAUUGAAAAAUGGUCCAAUAUAGGUUAUUAUUGCAGAGCCUAAUUCUGUGCAAGUUUCUAGUUUUGCAUGAGAGUCUCCCAAAGCAGAAGUAAUCCAUCUGCCACCAUCACUUGGGGAUGCAGUGGUUCCAACAGGAUGGGCUGGAGAGGUGCCUCCAUGAUCCAAGAGAGCAGAACCCGUGAGAAUUCCAGAGAAACCUGGAGUGGGGUUGGUGGGGCCAAAGCAAUGUCCUUUGCAAAUAGAAAGUUGUAAGGGAUUCUCACCCUUUGUAGAACAAUUGAUGAAAUUUUGCUUGUGAAAAGAAUGUGAAUCUAAAUGGAA